CUUGUUUAGAUGUUAUUACGAAUCAAACAGGAGUACUUUUUUUGGGCCACCCGGUACAUUACUGGAUUUUGCGGUUAUUGGCUGCCCUUCCGUUUUAAUAUAUCGUUGCCGUUAUUGAUGACUGAGAAGCUAUUGUGUCUGGAGUGUUCUAACGGUACUUUCAUAAGGCACCAUAAUGAGUAAUGACCCAGUUUUUUAAUUUCAUUGAAAUGAUAAUGAGGUUUUAUUAUGGAGUGAUACUGGCUUUCGUUCACCACUCGCUGCUAUAUAAAGCCUGGUUCACAUUGAUCGUAAACAUCGGCGAUGCCCAUUGUCGGUGGUCAUUGAUGCAUAAAAUGUUUUGUGCAUUUUCUUCGUUGCUCACAGACAAUGGAUCGUAGAACAUCGCCGAUCAAUGUGAACCA